UACGAAGGGGGCGAGCGUUGUUCGGAUUUACUGGGCGUAAAGGGCGCGCAGGCGGCUUAUUUUGUCAGGCGUGAAAGCCCCGGGCUUAACCUGGGAACUGCGUUUGAUACGGAUGGGCUAGAGUUCGGGAGAGGAGCGUGGAAUUCCCAGUGUAGAGGUGAAAUUCGUAGAUAUUCGGAAGAACACCAGUGGCGAAGGCGGCUCACUGGACCGGUAUUGACGCUGAGGUGCGAAAGCGUGGGGAGCGAACAGG
rnacentral:rRNA from 1 species